rnacentral:rRNA from 1 species
GAUGAACGCUGGCGGCGUGCCUAAUACAUGCAAGUCGAGCGAACAGACGAGGAGCUUGCUCCUCUGACGUUAGCGGCGGACGGGUGAGUAACACGUGGAUAACCUACCUAUAAGACUGGGAUAACUUCGGGAAACCGGAGCUAAUACCGGAUAAUAUAUUGAACCGCACGGUUCAAUAGUGAAAGACGGUUUUGCUGUCACUUAUAGAUGGAUCCGCGCCGCAUUAGCUAGUUGGUAAGGUAACGGCUUACCAAGGCGACGAUGCGUAGCCGACCUGAGAGGGUGAUCGGCCACACUGGAACUGAGACACGGUCCAGACUCCUACGGGAGGCAGCAGUAGGGAAUCUUCCGCAGUGGGCGAAAGCCUGACGGAGCAACGCCGCGUGAGUGAUGAAGGUCUUCGGAUCGUAAAACUCUGUUAUUAGGGAAGAACAAAUGUGUAAGUAACUAUGCACGUCUUGACGGUACCUAAUCAGAAAGCCACGGCUAACUACGUG